rnacentral:rRNA from 1 species
AGGACGAACGCUGGCGGCGUGCUUAACACAUGCAAGUCGAGGGCACCCAGCAAUGGGUGACCGGCGAACGGGUGCGUAACACGUGAGCGACCUGCCGUACCUGUGGGGGAUAGCCGGCCCAACGGCCGGGUAAUACCGCAUACGAUCGUUGUGUCGCAUGGUGCGACGACGAAAGCUUGGUGCAAACCAGGCGCAGGACGAGGGGCUCGCGGCCUAUCAGCUUGUUGGCGGGGUAACGGCCCACCAAGGCGACGACGGGUAGC